GGCUCCAUGGUCAAGCGGUUAAGACAUCGCCCUUUCACGGCGGUAACACGGGUUCGAUCCCCGUUGGAGUUA
rnacentral:tRNA from 1 species